rnacentral:rRNA from 1 species
UACGAAGGAUCCAAGCGUUAUCCGGAUUUAUUGGGUUUAAAGGGUGCGUAGGCGGGUUGUUAAGUCAGUGGUGAAAUCUUGCAGCUUAACUGUAAAAUUGCCAUUGAUACUGACGAUCUUGAGUACAUUUGAAGUGGGCGGAAUAUGUCAUGUAGAGGUGAAAUUCUUAGAGAUGACAUAGAACACCGAUUGCGAAGGCAGCUCACUAAACUGUAACUGACGCUGAGGCACGAAAGCGUGGGGAUCAAACAGG